rnacentral:rRNA from 1 species
AGUGAACGCUGGCGGUAGGCCUAACACAUGCAAGUUGAACGGCAGCACAGUAAGAGCUUGCUCUUACGGGUGGCGAGUGGCGGACGGGUGAGGAAUACAUCGGAAUCUACUUUUUCGUGGGGGAUAACGUAGGGAAACUUACGCUAAUACCGCAUACGACCUACGGGUGAAAGCAGGGGAUCUUCGUACCUUGCGCGAUUGAAUGAGCCGAUGUCGGAUUAGCUAGUUGGCGGGGUAAAGGCCCACCAAGUCGACGAUCCGUAGCUGGUCUGAGAGGAUGAUCAGCCACACUGGAACUGAGACACGGUCCAGACUCCUACGGGAGGCAGCAGUGGGGAAUAUUAGACAAUGGGCGCAAGCCUGAUCCAGCCAUACCGCGUGAGUGAAGAAGGCCUUCGGGUUGUAAAGCCCUUUUGUUGGGAAAGAAAAGCAGCAGGUUAAUACCCCGCUGUUCUGACGGUACCCAAAGAAUAAGCACCGGCUAACUUCGUG